UACGUAGGGGGCUAGCGUUGUCCGGAAUCAUUGGGCGUAAAGAGCGUGUAGGCGGUCCGGUAAGUCCGCUGUGAAAGUCGGGGGCUCAACCCUCGAAUGCCGGUGGAUACUGUCGGGCUAGAGUGCGGAAGAGGCGAGUGGAAUUCCUGGUGUAGCGGUGAAAUGACGCAGAGUAUCAGGAGGAACACCUAUUGCGAAGGCAGCUCGCUGGGACGUAACUGACGCUGGAGACGCGAAAGCGUGGGGAGCAAACAGG
rnacentral:rRNA from 1 species